GAAUCACUGUGGCCGGUCCGAGUUCGACGCGAAAUAAUUAAAUUCUUAGAAUUUUACAUUUAUAUUGUAGUUAAACAUAUUCAGAUCUAAAUCCACGGCCAGAACGUCUACUUCGACAGCUCGCGAUAACGCAUCCGCAACUAUGUUCAGCUUCCCCUUCCGGUACUCCAGCGUGAAAUCAUGCUGUUGCAGCUUGAGCGCCCAUCUUGCAAGACGCGCGGAGUUCCCCUCAACGCUAAUCUGGUUCAGCCAUCGUAAUGACUGCGCAUCGGUGACUACGCGGAAUCUGGUUCCCUCGACAAAAUGGCGGAACUUCUCUAUGGCGAGGAUAACGGCGAGGCAUUCCCGUUCUGUUGCGGAGUACUUCAUCUGUGUGGCCGAGAAUUUGCGGGAAAAGAAUGCGAUUGGUCGGCGUAUCCCUUCUUGAUACUGGACCAAAACAGCUCCGGCUGCGACCGCUGAAACAUCGGACUCGAUGACGAACUGCUGAUUAAAGUCCGGAUUGGCCAGCACCGGGGGUGAAGAGACAUCUUUCUUCCUUUUUGUUCAAUGGGAAUGGGACCCGCAAAGUUAGCUCCAACCUUCAUGAAUAAGGAAGCCUGGUCGCACCUUGCGACGGGAAGAUUCCCCAUGAAUUGACUGGCGCACGGAGGGUUGAGCUGGAAACACACGCUCACAAUUUCGUGUCACCUUGCGUACAGAAGAACUGGCUCCCAGAAUCCAAAAUUGCCGGCAAAGCUGGGCGAGUAGCGCCGACUCUCGAUGUACAGCAUAAAUCAACCGUUGGACGGUUUCAUCGUUCUUAGGUAAGAUUCAUUGAUGCUUUACACCAUUAGGUAAACUUGAACGUCGUAGUCGUCCACCGACGCGAAUCAUUCCAUCGUCCAAAAAGGGAUUUUAUAUUUUGAAUCUUUUACAGUACUCACAGGACUUCACAGGACUUCUACCUCGUUACCAAAAUGCUGUAAUUGGAUCACCCUGACGAUUACCUCCAACGAGUUGCGCAUUUCCAGAACGGUGGGGAACCCCUCAGGGAUUCUCCUCUUAUGCACCUUCUUCUUGGCAUUCUGGCAAAAACGCAAAACGUAUGCCAGAACUCGCUGCAGUUUCCAGAAGGACUCGUACUUGUAGAACAUCGGCAGUUUCUCCAAUGACACCACCGUAGAAGAAACAGUGGUCUGCCGGCAGACGCUUAUGCCACCGAUCGACGAGGACUUGCCUGUACAUUUUUACCACGUUAGUAGCCAAAACUUAAAGUGGGAGACGGAACCAAAGAGAGAUGGAGAUGGACCAGCUAGACACUAUCGCCGAUGCAUCAAACACCGCACGACACUUAGUAGUAGUAU